AACGAACGCUGGCGGCAUGCCUAACACAUGCAAGUCGAACGAGACCUUCGGGUCUAGUGGCGCACGGGUGCGUAACGCGUGGGAACCUGCCCUUAGGUUCGGAAUAACUCCCCGAAAGGGGUGCUAAUACCGGAUAAUGUCUUCGGACCAAAGAUUUAUCGCCUUUGGAUGGGCCCGCGUUGGAUUAGCUAGUUGGUAGGGUAAAAGCCUACCAAGGCGACGAUCCAUAGCUGGUCUGAGAGGAUGAUCAGCCACACCGGGACUGAGACACGGCCCAGACUCCUACGGGAGGCAGCAGUGGGGAAUAUUGGACAAUGGGCGAAAGCCUGAUCCAGCAAUGCCGCGUGAGUGAUGAAGGCCUUAGGGUUGUAAAGCUCUUUUACCCGGGAUGAUAAUGACAGUACCGGGAGAAUAAGCUCCGGCUAACUCCGUG
rnacentral:rRNA from 1 species